rnacentral:tRNA from 1 species
GUCCCUAUCGUCUAGAGGCCUAGGACAUCGCCCUUUCACGGCGGUAACCGGGGUUCGAAUCCCCGGAGGGACGCCA